GCCUGCCAGGCCCAUGUGGUUUCCUUCCCUGCCCACUGCCUCCUCUUACCCUGCCAGACACAGGGGGGACCUUACUUAGUGCAAAAUGCCAGGGAUUGCUGGAAGAGGGUUGAUAACAAUGUCGUGAUGCCUGAAAACAGGGCUGCUCACAGACCUCUGGAGAAGGGAACCUGCUCCUUUGCCAGGACUCAGCUGGUGCCACACUUGAACAGACUCUUUCAGGCAAGUAUUUCAGGCUUCGGUAUCAUGCCAGCUGACUUCAGCUAGAGGAAGUGGCUGAAAGCAAUGUUAUGAUGUACCUCAACAUCUUCAGCAAGAUACAGCGAGACCAGAAGACAUCCAACCUGAAGUUGGGUAGAACAUAGUGAAAGAAAAUAAAUCCCUACCCUGGAGGACAGGAACUGCAGGGUUUGGGAGUGCUCCUCUUCAGACAUGCCUGGAGGUUUUCUUUUGUGCCUGCUUUCCAAGAGGUCCUUCUUCCUGGAGAUCCCUGAGAAAGCAGAUCCUGGAGAGGCCAACAAAGCUUCUGCGAUCCCAAGCUGCCUUCUCUUCCUGAAAGGACUGUGUUCCAAAGCAGGAUAUCCAUGCCAGGACCAUUGCUCUCUGUGCCACCAAACUUUGGCUGAAGAACAUGUUGUCAUGCAUUAUGUGUUAACUCCAGGCAGAAUACUGCAGCCAUCUGUGCAGAGCUACAUCCAGAAACUUUAUAAUGCCAUGCCUGACAGACAACUGAUUUACCCAAAUAUCUGGUGAACACUUGAUGGUCUACUAAAAUAAAUUAGUGUCUAAUUACUGCUUCCUACCCCAUUAAUUUAUUCAUUGGUUUAAUGCCUGUCACGAAGAAUAGUAACAUUUCAAAGAACUACCAUUAUUGAGAAAUUUUAUACCCCACAGCUCAACAUUGUCUGAUUUUGCAAAUUAAAUUAAAUUAUCAACUCAGGAUCUUUCUCAACCUACUGUCACAAAUGUGAUAAGUCUUUUUUUUUCUUUUUUUUUCUUUUUUUUGGGUGCAUUUUUGUUUUGUUUCAUUUUGCUGCUAAAAAGAAGAAAAUUCGACUAAAAUAAGUACCUAGGAAAGGUUAGGUUAAGAAUCUUUGAAGGAUCUCUUUGAUUUCUAAACAAUAAUAAUUUUAAAACACCUUCACCAUACUCCAGUGGGUAUCAAGUGUAUAAGUAAGCUGUCAUAUUACAAGAAAUACUGUCUAGGAAAUGACAACUCCUUCUAGCAUAGCUCACAUGUUGCAGAGUUCAGUGUAAGUAAAUGUAGCCAUGAUAAUCUCAGUAGAUCCCAAAUAUGAAUACAGCAGUGUCAGUUAUUGAUCUAGUGUUUAGGGGCUGUGCAUAACUCAUUUUCACUGAACACAGAAAUAGUUUGUAGAAACCUAUUUGGCCAAUUAUCUAGUAUUGCCCUGUUUGUCUGCAUGAACAAGGAUGAAUAAAACAACAAAAAAAAAUUCAGAAUUCAAACUAGCUAGAUAUCAGUGCAGUAACAGGACGUGUAGAAUGACUGCUAACAGUAGCUAACUUCAGGACGCACAGAUAGCACAAUCUGUUAAUUUAUUUAUGGCUGCUAUCCAGCAAUAGCGCUAAGUGUGGCUGGAUGGAAAACGAUGUGAUGGAAAAAAAUCCACAAAGUUUACACCAAGUUUGGCAGUGUCAGACAACAAAAGGGACCUGGUAGAGCAGGCCGCAGCCAGGUGAGCUGCAGGGUGCCAGAGGAGGGCUGCCCAGCACCCAGCCACUGCUGCCUCCCACCGCCCACACGGGCCUGCUCAGCCGGGCUGACAAUGCAGGGAGUAUCACCUCCUUCGGCCCACGCCUCAUACGACAGAAUUUUUUUUUCCCUCAAAUUUAAGAGAAUCAUGCUUGCAAAAAAAUCAUAGAGUCUACCAACUUGUUCCUUAGUUUAAAGAUUUAAAUCUCAUGUUUAGUUACGUGUGCAGACUAACUGGUCACCAGAGAGGGAAAUUAAGUGGGUUACAAAGCCCCAGAGUUGGAAGAUCUCAGCUCAUACUGAAAUCACUGGGAUUAAGGUACCUAUUCUCCUUGGAGGUGAUGAACCGAAGCACGUCCCCUUCUCCAGAAGCAAAAUGAAUUCCAAAACAGGAACAGGGCUGGAAAGCUUAAUUUCUAUUAACAGCAGUGUGCCCUGUUAAAAACAUUGUGUUAUAUUUCAUUUUGUGGCUGCUCCACAAAUACUCUCAGCAGCUGAUGCAGCAUCUUGGUUGGGAUUCCUCCCACCUAACUUUAGUGUUCUUGAGUGAGGCCUCCAGUCUGAAUCUGAGUCCCUGGCCUUCCCCCCUCCCAGACAGGCAGCUGGCGAUUCAGAACACCAAAAAUUUAGUAAGGGGAAUUUCUAUGGUUCUGUAGUUUAAUUUACUUUAAACAAGCAACUGGUUUAUAAAAUCCUACUCUCAGAAAACACCCUUUAACCUAUUGAAGAUCACAGUAUUCUGUUACACAGAGCAUGAGACACACAGAAACCCAGAUGCAAAAUAAAACAAUUGUGUUUACUCUCAGAGAUUUCAACUGCUUCUGUAAAUCGUAAGCUGUAAACCAGCAAGGUACUGGCUGGGGAUGGCCCCCAAGAACAGGAUGCUGAGCUCCUGGAAACUCCCAGGGACCUCAACACAUACAUUAAUUACUUGCUUUCUCCUUA